CAGGAACAGGAUGUUUCCAGCAGGAGGAGGAAGCACAAGGUUACACAGGCUUCAGAGUCAGGCUGCCAGGGAUCAAAUCCCAGCACCUCCUUUUUCCUGUGAUGGGGCUUGUUCAACUUCUUUGAUAUCUCUAAACUAGGGAUAACAACAGCACCCGCUUGAGACUAUUGGGUGGAUUGACUGAACUCAUCUAUGUAAAAUGCCCAGCACACAAUAAGCUUCAUCAGCUGUUAUAAUUAAGAUCAGAGGAAGAGGAAGGGUGGUGUAUCUUCAUGAAACUACUAACCCAAACCCAGAACACAGCCAUCUCGCUACUAAAGCACCCAGGAAUUGUAGUUUUCUGUGCAACAGAGAUUGGGGAGCUAAGGCUGAGGAUUCAGGGUGAAUAACAAGUCUGGUGCUUGUCUGCAGAACAGCCAGCUGACUUUUGAAGUUGAUUCCUCCAACAUGAUGAAGCGUAUGUAGCUCAGGAAAAACGGCAGCUGGCCUUAAAUCAUAUAGCAUAAGCAAAGGGCUCUUCCCUGGACUAUGUCUCAUUUACUAUUUGAAUAAACAAAAUUCAACAACCUGAACAAUAAAUAAAAUAAAAAGGGAAUCUGCUGGAUCCACUGAAAAGUAAUGCUUACUUAUUCAAAUUUAUUAUGCCCCAUUUCCCCAUGCAUUACAUUUAAACCUCUGAUUUUUUAAAAGAAUAACAUCAUUAUUGAAAACUAAUGUUAUGCUUCAAAGCUCUAUUACUUGAACUGUUCAUAAAUGGAUUUAUGGCUACUGCUGAGUUCUGUGAAAGACUGUAUUGUAUGCCUUCUCCUUCAGUUUCACCAAGACUAUUAAUAAAGAUAUCCCUACAUCAACAUUUGCCCUCCUGCAGGGAGCUAGGUAUUCAUACCUGAAAAAAACUUUCACUUAAAUUGCUUUAAUGGGUUUUAAGUAAAACACUACUCCCAGUGAUUUAUUUUUCCCUUUGAUUGGCCAAGGAUUUGAAUUAUAGCUCACAGGGUAAAUUCAUAAAUAAUCAUGCUAACACCUUAUUUAGGAGCUAUAAUGCAAUAGGAGCUGCAGGUUUCUAUCUGCCCAUUGUUGAAGCCUCCUAAACAUUACAGAGCUGUGUAUGUAGGUGUGUAUGGAAUAAUACAUCAUCCAAUAUAUAGGCAUCUCUGUCUCUCCCACUAAAUCAGGGUCAGGAAUGAUAUCUCCUUUGUAGACUAAAUUGGAAACCAGGUAUAUUUCAGAGACUAAUAGGAGCUUCUUAGCUUUUAAAACAUGUAAUAUUAAACCACAUUGCAACAAUUUCAAUAUGUCCCCAGCAUAAGAUUUCUCAACACAAGUCACCAAGAAUGGAGGGCAUGCUAUCAUUUAAGUCACUGGACUGAAAAUAACCCAAACAUAGAGUAGAUUCUUAAUAUAACACUGUUAAAAUAACAGAAUGUCACAUACUCAAUGACAGCUCAAACCGUGAUAAUAAAGAAACCAAUCAAUCAAUAAAUGUGACUAAAAGGACCACCUUGUGCAGAAAAGAAACCAAAACCACUGUUCUUGCAGGAGGCAGAGCCAGGACAGGCUCCAAUAUUUAGGAGCUUUCUCUAUCCAACUCUGUUUACUGUCCCUAUUUUUCCCUUAUGAUUAAACUUUUCAUCUUCAUUUAAAAAAACA
rnacentral:lncRNA from 1 species